UACGUAGGGGGCGAGCGUUGUCCGGAAUCAUUGGGCGUAAAGCGCGUGUAGGCGGCCCGGUAAGUCCGCUGUGAAAGUCCAGGCUCAACCCUGGGAUGCCGGUGGAUACUGUCGGGCUCGAGUCCGGAAGAGGCGAGUGGAAUUCCUGGUGUAGCGGUGAAAUGCGCAGAUAUCAGGAGGAACACCGGUGGCGAAGGCGGGUCUCUGGGCCGAUAUUGACGCUGAGGAGCGAAAGCGUGGGGAGCGAACAGG
rnacentral:rRNA from 1 species